rnacentral:tRNA from 1 species
GGAUUUAGCUCAGUGGCAGAGCACUUGCCUAGCAAGCGCAAGGCCCUGGGUUCGGUCCCCAGAUCCA